GUUGAAGACCUUUCGAGAUUUGAUGGGUGGUGGUGCAUGGCCGUUCUUAGUUGGUGGAUUGAUUUGUCUGCUUAAUUGCGAUAACGAACGAGACCUUAUUCUGCUAAAUAGUACGGCUUGAGCAUUUACGGUUGAAUCGUAGGGUCCGUAUCUCAGGGGUAACCUUGGGUGCGUCUUACGUGGAAACUUUUGCGUCAAGUUGCGACUUCUUAGAGAAACAAAUAUACAGUCAAUAUAGAGGAAGGAAGGCAAUAA
rnacentral:rRNA from 1 species